rnacentral:rRNA from 1 species
AGCUUGCUACUUUGCUGACGAGUGGCGGACGGGUGAGUAAUGCUUGGGAAUAUGCCUUAUGGUGGGGGACAACAGUUGGAAACGACUGCUAAUACCGCAUAACAUCUCCGGAUCAAAGUGGGGGACCUUCGGGCCUCACGCCAUAAGAGUAGCCCAAGUGGGAUUAGCUAGUUGGUAAGGUAAUGGCUUACCAAGGCGACGAUCCCUAGUUGGUCUUAGAGGAUGACCAGCCACACUGGAACUGAGACACGGUCCAGACUCCUACGGGAGGCAGCAGUGGGGAAUAUUGCACAAUGGAGGAAACUCUGAUGCAGCCAUGCCGCGUGUGUGAAGAAGGCUUUCGGGUUGUAAAGCACUUUCAGCGAGGAGGAAAGGGUGUUGCUUAAUAGGUAACAUCUGUGACGUUACUCGCAGAAGAAGCACCGGCUAACUCUGUGCCAGCAGCCGCGGUAAUACAGAGGGUGCAAGCGUUAAUCGGAAUUACUGGGCGUAAAGGGAGCGUAGGUGGCUCGAUAAGUCAGAUGUGAAAUCCCCGGGCUCAACCUGGGAACUGCAUCUGAUACUGUUGAGCUAGAGUAUGUGAGAGGAAGGUAGAAUUCCAGGUGUAGCGGUGAAAUGCGUAGAGAUCUGGAGGAAUACCGAUGGCGAAG